rnacentral:sRNA from 1 species
GCAACGUAAAAGNGUCGCAGGUUCGAAUCCUGCACGACCCACCAAUCGUUCGGUGGAAACGAGAAUAANGGAUAACGUUGCGUCAGCAACGGCCCGUAGGGCGAGGCAAAGCCGAGUCAUCCUGCACAACCCACCA